GGAUGAACGCUGGCGGCGUGCCUAAUACAUGCAAGUCGAGCGAACUGAUUAGAAGCUUGCUUCUAUGACGUUAGCGGCGGACGGGUGAGUAACACGUGGGCAACCUGCCUGUAAGACUGGGAUAACUUCGGGAAACCGAAGCUAAUACCGGAUAGGAUCUUCUCCUUCAUGGGAGAUGAUUGAAAGAUGGUUUCGGCUAUCACUUACAGAUGGGCCCGCGGUGCAUUAGCUAGUUGGUGAGGUAACGGCUCACCAAGGCAACGAUGCAUAGCCGACCUGAGAGGGUGAUCGGCCACACUGGGACUGAGACACGGCCCAGACUCCUACGGGAGGCAGCAGUAGGGAAUCUUCCGCAAUGGACGAAAGUCUGACAAGCAACGCCGCGUGAGUGAUGAAGGCUUUCGGGUCGUAAAACUCUGUUGUUAGGGAAGAACAAGUACAAGAGUAACUGCUUGUACCUGACGGUACCUAACC
rnacentral:rRNA from 1 species